GGUCCGGUGGCUCAAUGGUAGAGCGUCUGACUACGAAUCAGGAGGUUGCAGGUUCGAGACCUGCCCGGAUCG
rnacentral:tRNA from 5 species